rnacentral:lncRNA from 1 species
AAUAUUUUUUUUUCAUAUAUAUUGUUUUGUUAUAUAUUUUCAAAUUCAAUCACGAUAUGUUAAAAUUUUUUGAGAAAUGAUUUUAAUGUCGUGUAAACAUUAUAUGUGUGUUACAAUUUGAAAUUUCAUGAUACUACACUAGGAUAACAUCAAUAUAACAAAUUGUGUAUAUGUAAAUUUAGAAUUGUUAUGAUUGAGUAUAUAGAUAUGAAUAUUGAAGUAUCUGCAUCGAAACCGAAUAAUCAACAAGCUCUUAUAGAAAAUAUUUUCUCAUCAGAUAUUUUUAUAUUCAGGAUAUGUCAUUAUUUUACUUUUAUGGUAUCAUGUAAAGAGUAGUAAAAAAUUCACAUUAUGUAAUUGGACUAUUAUUAUAGUGAUAUAAAAAAUUGAAAUGCUCGAAAAGUAAUGAACUUUGCCGAUUUUUGUUAGCAGUUAAUUUUUUCCGGUUCUGGUUAUAAUUGAAACCGUCUAAGAAUUGAUGGGUAUUUGUACGUCUGAAUUUUAACUAUAUGGAUCCAAACUUGAAAUUACGAUGGGUGGGGAAUGAAUAUUAAGUAUUAACUAUCUGGAUAUAUAUAUAUAUGGAUAUGUAUAUCAAGUUUAAAAUAGUUUUUCGUUCACUAAUUAUGUGACCUCUAUUUCUAGACACGGAGAUGAAUGUCUCCAUGGGAAAACAACUGAAAAAAGCUAUCUCAGUAUCCGCGUGAUCAAUCGUAACAGCCUAACAUGACUAAGCUUACGAUAAUUUUGUAGUCGAUUUUAAAGUCUUGAAACCACUACAUAACCUGACCCAAAUUUAUGAGACCAAUUAGGUAUUGACAUUAACAUUAAGAGAUGUGUUAAGUUUAAAAUAAUUGUCAAUGCACUAAUUUGGAGACAUAUAGAUAUAAUCAUUUAAUUUUAUUUAAUGACUACGCUCAUAUAUUUAUCUAAUUAUAUAUUAAUAUAUUUAUAGUUAUAUAACUAUUUAUGACUACGGGUGAAUAGCGUCGUACUAACUCUUAUUCAAAAUUUCGCGGCAUGGCGCGACAAACCAAACUAGUU